rnacentral:rRNA from 1 species
UACGUAGGUGGCAAGCGUUGUCCGGAUUUACUGGGCGUAAAGGGCGUGCAGGCGGUCUGUUAAGUUCAGGGUGAAAGCUCCCGGCUCAACUGGGAGAGGUCCUUGGAUACGGGCAGACUUGAGGGAGGUAGAGGAGAGUGGAAUUCCCGGUGUAGUGGUGAUAUGCGUAGAUAUCGGGAGGAACACCAGUGGCGAAGGCGGCUCUCUGGGCCUUUCCUGACGCUGAGACGCGAAAGCGUGGGGAGCGAACCGG